GUUGGAAAGGACCAUAAAGAUCAUCUCAUUCCAACCUUCAAACCCCCACCCAGCCCAGACACAGACAGGAUCAACAGAUUAAGAACACUUUCUCAGUUCUAUGGCUAGUGGUGUAUGGCCGUUCUUAGUUGGUGGAGCUACUUAUCUGGUUAAUUCCAGUAAUGCUUGAGUCUAUGGCAUGCUAGUUACAUGACACCUGAGCAGAUGGUGUCCACCUUCUUAGAGGGACAAGUGACAUUCAGCCUUCUGAGAUUAAGCAGUAACAGGUCUGUGAUGCCCUUAGAUGUCCGGGGCUGCACGCGCGCUACACUGACUGGCUCAGCUUGUGUCACCCUACGCCGGCAGGCGCGGGUAACCCGUUGAACCCCAUUCGUGAUGGGGAUCGGGGAUUGCAAUUAUUCCCCAUGAACGAGGAAUUCCCAGUAAGUGCGGGUCAUAAGCUCGCGUUGAUUAAGUCCCUGCCCUUUGUAC
rnacentral:ncRNA from 1 species